GUGUUCGCUUUGGCAGCACAUAUACUAAAAUUGGAACAAUACAGAGACGAUUAGCAUGGCCCCUGUGCAAGGAUGACACCCACGUAGUGACAGGGACCCAAGUGCAUA